UUACAAGGGUCAAACUUGUCUUUUCCAGCAACAACAGAUAAAAAAAAUUUCUUCAAAAUAAGAUGUAAAAUUCUAGAGCGGUGAUGACCCGAUCAACAGUGCCAAAGUUAAAGUGGGGCUUUUUUGGAGGAGAUGUGAAUGGAUGGCAUCCUAGAUUGCAGAUGCAAUCACUCAUAUAGUCCAUUAUUAUUCUUGUCUUGUACCAUCAGCUUCAGAGUAUGCGUCCUUCACAAUAAAAGUAAAAAGGAAGAAUUCAAUAGAUGCGAGAUUAUCUUGACAAAACUUAGCAACAAAAAUGUGAUUCUUAUUUAUUAAAGGAGCACAAAGUGUGUCAGAAAGCUUAAAAGCAGUAUUAGAUUCCUGAACCAAAGUUGAACCAAUAUGAGCUUUGGGAAUGGUUUUACCGUCACCCAUAGAAAUCUCGUCACUUUCUGUACACUCUUCAAGGUUGUGGGGUUCUGUAGUUACAUGGUGAGUUUCUCCAGAGUCUAGAACCCAAGAGUUUUCAGAUGAUUGUAAGCCAGAUUCAAAGUUAGCCUUAACUUCAAAAUAAUUGUGUGACUUGGAGCGACAAACAUAUACCUUGUGUCCGAACUUUUGGCACAAUUGGCAUUUGACAGAUUGCUUAUAUUGACUCCUAUUUGGAUGAUUGUUGGAGUUCAAUUGCUUAUUGCUGGAAUUCUAUUGUCGAUAUUGAGAUAUUUUCCACUGCUGAUUGUUGAAGCGAGGAUUGUUCCUGUUGAAUUGGUGAGGCGUGUUGGACUUUUGGGCAAUAACAAUUGUGAUCACAAAGAAUGGUUUGUUCAAAUCUUGAUGUUUUAAGAAAAAAAUUCAUAUUUUGUGAGCUUGUGAAAUAAUUCUUCAAGGCUCAAAGAAGAGUCUCGUGCAUGUAUUACAGUAGAGAGUUCUCUAUACUCGAGGCCAAGUCUACUAAGAAUUUUGACAAUAUGUUCAUUGUCGUUGAAAGGUGAACCAGAAACAUUGGGAGCAUCAGAGAGAGAACGAACCUCUUGUUGUGUGAAGAAGUGCCCAUACUUUGGUAGUAGAUGGUGUUGCUGCAAUAGUUGGAGCAAUCGUAGGAUCAACGUAUGCCAUCAUUCCUUGUUGGAUCAAUUGAUCCUGAGAGAUUCAGCAUAUUUGAUAUUCGCGAAAAAACAUGAUUUCUGCCUAAAUCAGAGUUGUCUUCAAUGAUGCAUCUUCUCUACUUGAGUUUGCCCACUUUCAAGUUUGACAAAAGUCAGGGAGGGGUCAAUAUUUAUAAGGAAACAAAGUCUGAUAACAUCAAGUUUAACUUUAUUUUUUUGGUUAUUGGUUGAUGAUGGAUUAAGAUGCAUCACUAUCCAGAAAAAGGUGGGUCUACUUUAACCAGUAGAAUAUUAGAUUCGAGUAAUCAACAAAAAGGUGUCAUAGCAAGUUGAAGCACAGAAGUAACACAAUUGUCUUUAUGUUUUGUUUGGAGUGGUAAAAGAUGUGCCCAUCUAUACCAACUGAAAUUUUGUCGUGAUCAUUCCUUAGGAGUUGCAAUAAUAAUGAUCCAUAAUACUGGAUGUUUACAUUUUUAUGUAAUGUGAUUCUUUUUGUUCUGUAGAAUUUAUUAUGAAAUUUUAUAUGAAUAUUGAUUGUUUUAUAUAUUA